AUUUUUUUUCCUUCGAACUCACCACGAAGGUAAUGUCCAUUUCGUACACGCUUUUGACAGCGUUUGUCGUCUCUUCAGGUUCGUCUCGUUUGCCGAUCUGUCGUUUGAACGCGACGUUACUUGGCCUUUGGUAGCGCACCGCUCGAGCAUCGCAUCGCCGCCAUUGGAAGAACGCCCUCUCGAGUUGCUUUUGCUCGUAUUAUCGUUUCACGGUUAUUCUCGCGCCACUAUGUCCUGCAAUAUACCGAGUUAGCUAAUCGAAUCCGCCAUUGUAUACUACUUCGUACUAUUUUCUACAGAUCCACCAUUCCUCUGCGAUAUGCAAUUAGAUGGUGGCUGUAUGUCGGGGAAUAAAAACGAGCGUUCUUAGACCAUGGAAGGAUAGGAUCGUUGGCAUUCUAAGUAAAAUUAUGCGAUCACCGGACCGAUAGUUCUACACGGCGGCUAUAUCUUCCAGGCAAGACCAUCUGGACGCGUGAGCGUUAACAAAAGACAGAGGACGAUGGAAUGACUUUGCACGUCUGUUUAAUCUGCCGUUUUCGGAGGCCAAAGUCUUCCCAGGGAUCGACGUGUCCGACCCUGAGCAGUACACGCAAAGAUUGAAGGCUUCGCGGACCACAUGGACAAAGGGGACACCGUGGUUGCAUUCAUUUCGACUUGCAAGAAUGUCAGGGAGGACAAAAAGACCGAGACCCGCCCUUCCGUUACGAGCCGCUUUCCCUCGUGCGCCCGCGAGCAUGGAAACGGACUUGCCUCGAAAGUCGUUUCGCGCGAGUCGAUUCAACGCGGCUGCGACCGGAUGGAAACGUGGUCGAUGCCGAUUUCUCAACCCGGGAAACGGCCAAAUGUGAAACGCAACCGACCGUAUUGCUGCUAGUAAUCGCGAGUUUCUCUUCUUCGUGUUUCUUCCUGUCGUGUCCCGCGUAACAGCCCCGAUGCUCUCCCGAGAACAUUUCGUAUUUGAUUAUAGAGAGUCGGAGACGGAUCUCUGUCGCGCGGUUGAGGUUUGAAAUUUAGUUCUUUGUUAAGUUUCUUUCGCGGUCUCUUUCGCGGUGAAAGUUUUUGAAAUUGUAUCACAGGUUAUACAAAUCUACGAAUUUUUAUUUCGACAGAAUAGCCUUCCUUUCUUCUCCAUUUUUACGAAAGAAAACAAAAUCGACGAGUAAUUUAUGUACACAUCGUGAAGGUUGCUAAAACGGUACUACCAGCGAACUACAAAGUCUCAACUUAACCAAACUCCAACCUUCGAUUAAUUCAAAACUAAUGCUACAAAUUGCGAAUAUCGAUGAUAACGUUUAUUACUUCGGUAAUAUCUUUUAUCAACGAAUGUUCUAAGACAGCGAAGCUUCAAGUUGAAGCUCUGUACAAUUCUUUGAACGAUCAAUCAGCAACUAACCGGACUAAAAACCAGCUACGGGUUUUAAGAGCAUUAAGAACGACCGUUGAGAAGCGAACUGUCUCUGGCGCAGGAAAUUAAAAGACGCAUGGAAGAAAAUAUAUUACGUGAACGACUGAUA